rnacentral:rRNA from 1 species
AAAGAGUUGCAAUAUGGUAACAUGGAGCGAAUCUCAAAAAGAUAGUCUCAGUUCAGAUUGUGGGCUGAAACCCGCCCACAUGAAGUCGGAGUUGCUAGUAAUCCCGAAUCAGCAUGUCGGGGUGAAUGCGUUCCCGGGUCUUGUACACACCGCCCGUCAAGCCAUGGAAGCCGGGGGCGCUUGAAGUGCGUUGCCGCAAGGCGCGCCCUAGAGCGAAACCGGUGACUGGGGCUAAGUCGUAACAAGGUACC